UUAAAGUUUUAUUCUUGCUAGGUUAUUCAUUAUAUAGUUGUAUCAUAUAUAAAUUUUAUUAAUAUUUAAUAUUCAUUAUUGUAGUGGUAAAUAUUAUUUUUCAGUUAAAGCUGGAUAUAGCAAUCUAUAUAUUUUCGGUAAAAAUCGUGCCAGCCACCGCGGUUAUACGUGAGAUAAAAGUGAAUAUUAUAGGGUUAGUAGUUAAAUAUUUUAUUUUCUUAGUUGUAAUAUUUUUAGGUGAAAUUUUAAUAUUAUUUUAAUGAUAAUUAUUGAAACUAUGAAAUUUAUUUUAUAAACAAGGAUUAGAUACCCUUUUAUUUUAAAUGUAAAUAUUAACCUGGGUAGUAAUAGUUAUGUUCUUGAAACCCAAAGAAUUUGGCGGUAUUUUAUUCUUUUUAGAGGAGCCUGUCCUGUAAUUGACAAUCCACGAUAGGUAAUUACUUGUUUUUGUUUUCAUUUUGUAUACCUCCGUCAUCAGAGUAUCUUUUUAGAGUAAAUAUUCAUAUAAUACAAAAUAUAAUAUGUCAGGUCAAGGUGCAAUUUAUAAGCAAGUAGAGAUGGGCUACAAUAAAUUUAUUUACACGAAUUGAUAUUAUUAUUUUAUCAUGAAGGUGGAUUUAAAAGUAAAAUUAAUCCUUUAUUAAUUUGACAUUAGCUCUAAAAUAUGCACACAUCGCCCGUCGCUCUUAUUUUAAAAUAAGAUAAGUCGUAACAUAGUAGGUGUACUGGAAAGUGUACCUAGAAAGUAAUA
rnacentral:ncRNA from 1 species